rnacentral:rRNA from 1 species
AGCAGCCGCGGUAAUUCCAGCUCCAAUAGCGUAUAUUAAAGUUGCUGCAGUUAAAAAGCUCGUAGUUGAAUUUCGGGGUCAAUAUGUUGGUCGUGCCUUGGUACGUACUAGCUUAUUGAUUUCUCCUUUCUGACGAACCAUGAUGUCAUUAAUUUGGUGUCAUGGGGAAUCAGGACUGUUACUUUGAAAAAAUUAGAGUGUUUAAAGCAGGCUCGCGCUUGAAUACAUUAGCAUGGAAUAUGAAAUAGGACAUUUGAUUCUAUUUUGUUGGUUUCUAGGAUCGAUGUAAUGAUUAAUAGGGAUAGUUGGGGGCAUUAGUAUUCAAUUGUCAGAGGUGAAAUUCUUGGAUUAUUGAAGACUAACUACUGCGAAAGCAUUUGCCAAGGAUGUUUUCAUUAAUCAAAAACGAAAGUUAGGGGAUCGAAGACGAUCAGAUACCGUCGUAGUCUUAACCAUAAACUAUGCCGACUAGGGAUCGGAUGAUGUUAAUUUUUUAAUGACUCAUUCGGCGCCUUACGGG